GCGACGCCGCGUGAGGGAUGACGGCCUUCGGGUUGUAAACCUCUUUCAGUAGGGAAGAAGCGAAAGUGACGGUACCUGCAGAAGAAGCGCCGGCUAACUACGUGCCAGCAGCCGCGGUAAUACGUAGGGCGCAAGCGUUGUCCGGAAUUAUUGGGCGUAAAGAGCUCGUAGGCGGUUUGUCGCGUCUGCUGUGAAAGCCCGGGGCUCAACCCCGGGUCUGCAGUGGGUACGGGCAGACUAGAGUGCAGUAGGGGAGACUGGAAUUCCUGGUGUAGCGGUGAAAUGCGCAGAUAUCAGGAGGAACACCGAUGGCGAAGGCAGGUCUCUGGGCUGUUACUGACGCUGAGGAGCGAAAGCAUGGGGAGCGAACAGGAUUAGAUACCCUGGUAGUCCAUGCCGUAAACGUUGGGCACUAGGUGUGGGGGACAUUCCACGUUCUCCGCGCCGUAGCUAACGCAUUAAGUGCCCCGCCUGGGGAGUACGGCCGCAAGGCUAAAACUCAAAGGAAUUGACGGGGGCCCGCACAAGCGGCGGAGCAUGCGGAUUAAUUCGAUGCAACGCGAAGAACCUUACCAAGGCUUGACAUUCACCGGACCGCCCCAGAGAUGGGGUUUCUCUUCGGGGCCGGUGGACAGGUGGUGCAUGGUUGUCGUCAGCUCGUGUCGUGAGAUGUUGGGUUAAGUCCCGCAACGAGCGCAACCCUCGUUCUAUGUUGCCAGCACGUGAUGGUGGGGACUCAUAGGAGACUGCCGGGGUCAA
rnacentral:rRNA from 1 species